rnacentral:lncRNA from 12 species
CAUAUGCAGUUCACAGUCUGCUUCUGCUGGACGGGCUGCCCUGGCUGCACCUCCAGUAUAAUAGCUGAGGGGCCACUGGUGCCUAUUUCAGCUUUAGCUAAACUGAAGUAAAGUUGCAUAUUUGUUCUUCAGCCACACUGGCCACAUUUUAGCUGCUCAGUGGUCACAUGUGGCUGCUGGCUGUCAUACUGGACAAUGCAGGUUUAGAACAUUCCUAUCAUUCUAGAAAGUUCUAUAAGAUAGCACUGUUCUAGUGUAGAAUCAGAUGACAAACCCAAACAAACAGACAAGAAAGAUACUAAUGGUUUGUUUGAAGGUGAUAACUACGGAAAAAAAUCAAGUGGGAGGAUAAGGACUAUAGGGGUGGUGAGGUGUGGGUGGUUGGGUGAUAAGAGCGAAGACUGAAAGGUGAGGGAAGGCUCCAUGAACACUGGGGAGGUGCAUGUUAGGCAAUGGAAACAGCAUGUGCAAAGGGCCUGUGGCACGUGAGCUGUCAGGAGUGCAGAGAGUGGUGUCCAGCCAUGUCCAGGUUGAAUUCAGGUCCAGUGGCCCAAGCAGCUGUUGGGUGUGAAAUGCUGGGGAGGGAUGGGGGGAUGGCCUUUAGGCUGUAGAGCCUCAUGGGGACUCGGCCUUUCCUAGGAGGGUCUGCAGAUUGCAGCAGUGUUUGGGUUAAAUGAACUGAGCUAGGAGGGUCAGUGUGGCAAUGAUGUGCUGUUCAAGGGGACGGAUAAACUUGUGGGGGAUCUGGAUACAAAAUGGAUACAAUCUGGAUACCAGGCCACUGAGGGUCAGGGGUCACAGAGACCAGGAGGGGCAGACAAGGAACUUCCAGGGAGGCUCCUGGGUCACCCGGGGAGAGUGAGGCAGGGAAGGGGAGGGUGCAGGUGGGGCUGCCCAGGGGGCCGUACAGCUCCCCCACUCGGCCUGGUGAGGAAAUGGGCAGGUCACGUGGGCCCACAGGAAGCUUGGGGUACAGCCUUGGUGCAGGGUAAGGGUCCCCGGUGUAACUCGCCCUCUGUGCUCUCCUGUCCCACUCCUCCCCUGCCCCCACCAGGUAUCACAACGUGGGCAUCCUCGUGCUCUUCCUGCACGACAUUAGCGACGUGCAGCUGGAGUUUACCAAGCUCAAUGUCUACUUCAAGUCCCGCGGAGGAUCCCACCACCGCCUCCACGCCCUGGCGGCGGACCUUGGCUGCCUCAGCUUCAGCGUCAGCUGGUUCUGGUUCCGCCUCUACUGGUUUCCGCUCAAGGUUCUGUACGCCACGUGCCACUGCAGCCUGCGCUCAGUGCCCGACUUCCCCUUCUACUUCUUCUUCAAUGCACUCCUCCUGCUGCUCACCCUCAUGAAC